AUGAAAGUUAUAAGCUGGAACUGCCGGGGACUCGGGAACGGCCCGGCAGUUCGCAGCCUCCUCGAUGUGGGGAGGACGGAGGAGCCCGAUAUCCUUUUCCUUGCUGAAACUAAGCUUACGGAGAAGGAGAUGGACAGAUUUCGGUGGUCUUUGAAGCUCGCUAACAUGGUGGCUUGGGGCUCGGGUAGCAGAAGUAGAGGCAUUGCUAUGUUAUGGAGGAGGGGAGUGGAUGUUACACUAUGGUGA
rnacentral:rRNA from 1 species